UGCAAACCCUGUACAUCUCACCA
rnacentral:piRNA from 1 species